CUUUCUUUUCACCCACUUCCAUAAUAUCAGAGUAAAUUUUCAAUGGCUGAUAUUGCUCUUUUGGUUGCUGAGGAGUAUGAAAGGAGAGUCAAGAAUUCAAGAAAGUUAUNNNNNNNNNNNNNUGCAGAUUCAGAUUCAGAUUCAGCCAUGAAAGUUGUUAACUGGGUUUCUUGUGUUUCUUUCCUGUCUCGGAGUGUCAAGAAUAAGGUUAGGCAAGAGAAUAUUGAACUUGCCAAAAUGGUUUUGGAGCCCAAGACCCAAAUUGGUCUUGCAGCUUCUAAUGGGUUCUUCUCUGCCUGAGUUUUUUCUCUUCUUGAUUUCGAUCUUCUAUUUUUUUUUUCUUUUAGUUUGUAGUUCUGUACAAAUUUUAUGUUCCGA
rnacentral:misc_RNA from 1 species